GCAUGGUGACCAGGGACCAGAGGUCUGAUAGUCCUGGUGACCAGUGACCAGAGGUCUGAUAGGCCUGGUGACCAGUGACCAGAGGUCUGAUGGGCCUGGUGACCAGGGGACCACUGAUCUGUCCUCACGGUUUGAAUUACGGCAGGAAACUGGCUCCAUAAACGUGUGGAUGCUCCAAUCGGUCCGAGAAGGGUUACCACAUAUAUGGCUUCCCCAAGGACCAAGAGCGCAGGAAGAAAUGGAUGGCAAUGGUCAGCCGUCAAAACGUACAAGUGACAGGGGUCAGCAACAGUCAAAAUCUAUGUAAUUUACACUUUGAAGAUGACCAAUUCACUGCCGCAAAAAGAGAAGGGAUGUUGAUGUUGAGGCCCGAUGCAGUCCCAACAGUUUUCAUUCAUCGCCCUAAGCCGAAGAGGAGGAAACCCCCUUCUGUGAGGGUGCCUCCAGAACCAAGUGCAACAGACCACACAUAUUGCACCAAAUUAAACUUCGGUAUGAUCCAUGCAGCUAACAAUAUUCCCCAUUCCAUGUAUUUUAAGGAUAGACUACACUCCUAUUGAGAUUACAUAAUUCAUAUUUGUACAGAUUAAAAAACAACCAGAGGUCAGGGAUUCUUAGAGGAUUUGCACACAAUGUAGAUAAUCGACAC
rnacentral:lncRNA from 1 species